UGGGGAAUAUUGCACAAUGGGGGAAACCCUGAUGCAGCCAUGCCGCGUGUGUGAAGAAGGCCUUCGGGUUGUAAAGCACUUUCAGCGAGGAGGAAAGGUUGAUGCCUAAUACGUAUCAACUGUGACGUUACUCGCAGAAGAAGCACCGGCUAACUCCGUGCCAGCAGCCGCGGUAAUACGGAGGGUGCAAGCGUUAAUCGGAAUUACUGGGCGUAAAGCGCACGCAGGCGGUUGGAUAAGUUAGAUGGGAAAGCCCCGGGCUCAACCUGGGAAUUGCAUUUAAAACUGUCCAGCUAGAGUCUUGUAGAGGGGGGUAGAAUUCCAGGUGUAGCGGUGAAAUGCGUAGAGAUCUGGAGGAAUACCGGUGGCGAAGGCGGCCCCCUGGACAAAGACUGACGCUCAGGUGCGAAAGCGUGGGGAGCAAACA
rnacentral:rRNA from 1 species